AGUCGAGGGGUAUGCUUCUUCGGAAGCAGAGACCGGCGCACGGGUGCGUAACGCGUAUGCAAUCUACCUUUUACAGAGGGAUAGCCCAGAGAAAUUUGGAUUAAUACCUCAUAGCAUAGCAGUCUCGCAUGAGAUCACUAUUAAAGUCACAACGGUAAAAGAUGAGCAUGCGUCCCAUUAGCUAGUUGGUAAGGUAACGGCUUACCAAGGCUACGAUGGGUAGGGGUCCUGAGAGGGAGAUCCCCCACACUGGUACUGAGACACGGACCAGACUCCUACGGGAGGCAGCAGUGAGGAAUAUUGGACAAUGGGCGCAAGCCUGAUCCAGCCAUGCCGCGUGCAGGAUGACGGUCCUAUGGAUUGUAAACUGCUUUUAUACGAGAAGAAACACUGCUUCGUGAAGCAGCUUGACGGUAUCGUAAGAAUAAGGAUCGGCUAACUCCGUGCCAGCAGCCGCGGUAAUACGGAGGAUCCAAGCGUUAUCCGGAAUCAUUGGGUUUAAAGGGUCCGUAGGCGGUUUAAUAAGUCAGUGGUGAAAGCCCAUCGCUCAACGGUGGAACGGCCAUUGAUACUGUUAAACUUGAAUUAUUAGGAAGUAACUAGAAUAUGUAGUGUAGCGGUGAAAUGCUUAGAGAUUACAUGGAAUACCAAUUGCGAAGGCAGGUUACUACUAAUGGAUUGACGCUGAUGGACGAAAGCGUGGGUAGCGAACAGGAUUAGAUACCCUGGUAGUCCACGCCGUAAACGAUGGAUACUAGCUGUUGGAAGCAAUUUCAGUGGCUAAGCGAAAGUGAUAAGUAUCCCACCUGGGGAGU
rnacentral:rRNA from 1 species